rnacentral:rRNA from 1 species
AGUAAUGUAUGGGGAUCUGCCCGAUAGAGGGGAAUAACUACUGGAAACGGUGGCUAAUACCGCAUAAUGUCUACGGACCAAAGCAGGGGCUCUUCGGACCUUGCACUAUCGGAUGAACCCAUAUGGGAUUAGCUAGUAGGUGGGGUAAAGGCUCACCUAGGCGACGAUCUCUAGCUGGUCUGAGAGGUGAUCAGCCACACUGGGACUGAGACACGGCCCAG